GGGCUCAUAGCUCAGUUGGUAGAGCGCCGCAUUCGCAUUGCGGAGGUCGGGAGUUCGAGUCUCCCUGGGUCCA
rnacentral:tRNA from 1 species